CCCCUCCCCUGCUUCCCUGCUAACGUUGGAGCAUUGGGUGAACCCUGCCAAGCUCCGGCGUGAGGGCCUCCCUUCAACCAGCCUCGAGCUGUCGGGCUCCAUUAGGACUGAGCUCCGCCCCCUAGGAGGCCGACAUCACGUCCCCCCCCCCUGUCCGUGACAUUACCCCGCCCAGGCGAGGUUUGCGUUGGACUCGCUCCACAUCACCUCAUGUUGGAGAUUAUGGCACAAGCCACCCAGAAAGCUGGAUCCUAAAGGAAUUUUUAAUAAAUUUGUUCGGCAUUAUAUAAAAGGUUUGCUGAAUAUGAAAGGGGAAGAUGGAGUUUCCAUCUAUGCGAUCGUUUCUGUUUCAAAAGGACACGAGGACCUUUGCAACCUUAAUGAAUAACCUCUACAAUCUAAUUGUCCCAAAAUAUGUAUUAAAAGCAAUGUUGCCUACUUGAUUGUAUCCGUCACAUUUGGACUGAUUGAAGAAGUUGUUUUCAAAGCUUAAAUUUGUAUUUGCAAUAUUACUGUAAUAGUUUGUACAGUAAAAGAUGGCAAGCAAAAUAUUGCGAUACUUAAUCGAUAAAUCCCUCUGAAUUAUUUUUAUUUGUUGUAAAAUGUCCUCUUUGUCCUUUUUAGAAUGAGUUUUUAGCAGCACACUGCUUUCCUCUGAGCCACUAGGACGUCUGUUAUUGUCCCGCUGCUGGUUCGAGAGACCACACCGCUGCUCCUCGAAUCCCAGGCAUCUACAAAUUGUUCUUGCAUGUUCUUAUCCAGGGUUCAAUCCUUUUUAAAUGUGAGCUCUGGGCCGGCUAAUGGGCCUCUACUGAGUACAUCAAUCUGCGUCAGGCCUCUGGAAAGGAGGGGGGGGUCUUCAGCUCCUUCGUUCACCUUCCUUCACUUUUUUUAAAAGUUGUGAUUGGACAAAACAAGCAAUUUGACGACGACAAUUUUUACUAUUUACUUUUUAUGGAUUAAUUGCUGAAAAUAUUGAAUGAUAGUUGUGCAAGCAUUUUGGGGAAAAAAAUGUAAUUCAAUGUAAAUUUUGAUCAAAUUAUUCACAGAUGUUCGGCUAUUUAAUUACUGUAUUAUUGUUUGUAUCAGAAUAUUUCAUGGAUGUGCUGUAAUAACCUCAACCUCCACAGGUUGCUUUAAAGACUAGACAAAGGUGGAUAAUUAAUUGUUAAUUGAUCAUAAAUAAAUAUCAGUAAAUCAUAUUUUUGAAAGAGGUCUUACUUUUGUGUGGGGCCAGGAAAUAUAUUUUAAAAAUGUAGUGUCCAUGAUUGCAUCAGAAACAAAACAGCUGAAAAGUCUUUUAUCCUGAAAAAACACCCACCUUUUUUUAUUUCAUGCCUUGCAGCCUUUUUCCUCUCGUCUCUUUCUCUCUUUUAGCUUUUAAAAAAAAAAAGUGAUGAAAGUUUUUGGUGCACGUGUGUGGCCCGCAGAGCUCAACGGCUGCAUACCUGCAGGCUGCACGCAGGUACUCCUAAAUCUUCCCUCUAACAUCGACCUUCUGUCAAAACAACGGCGGAUAUGUGCGCCACGUGAAUUCAGGGGGUCGUCUGAGUUCCUUGUGGCGUUUGAGCGUUCGGAUGGGUUAGCGCGUGUCUCUCCCUGAGAUCAGAUCACAUGCGAUCACGUUCCUCAUCAUGGCCAAAGAAAAGAAUUUGGAAAGAAAUGGCCACUUGAGGAGGAGUCAGAGACAUUCUCUGCUCUCUCCAUUUCAAUUGUCAUGCUCUUCUGGAGGAUCCUCAUGCACGCCAGAGAUACCAUGAACGCUGUGUUGCACCACCAAAUAAAUGAGAUAAAUAGACUCCUCUGAGGGUCUAUCCCACCGGCGCCGCCGCUGUGCGACGGCAACAAACGCCUGAAAGAGAAACCCACAACCGCGGGCCGUUCUUUCCUCACCUCCUGCCAGCAUCUCACCGUGAGAGGGGGGGGGGUUGAGGACCGGGAGGUAAAUCGGGUCGAAAGGAGGCCAGCGGGCGUGCAGAGGAAUCAAACGGCUCACGUGGUAAUGCUCCCCGUGAGCUGUCAACAAGAUAUGAAACUCUACGCCUGGUGAACUCCAGAGAGGUCCAUUUGGUGCCUCCCCCCCCCCAUCCCCCUCCCUUCGCCCCCUGCUACCGUAUCCCGUUGCCACCGCCGGGAAUUUGCCUCCGACAUAAUUGAGCGGGGCCUUACCUUGGCGCGGUAGGAGAGCUGGAGGUGGGGAGCCGGGGGUGCGAGCAGACAUUUUGAGUCGGGUUUCCCUCAGCUGCGAGCCACCUGUCUGAGCUGUGAGGUCACACAGGAGAAGACAACCUGCCGUGAACAAACCAGGCGGUCGCACUUUAAAGGGGUUAGCGACUGAUAUGCUGCCGUUGUCGAGAGAAAUCCAGGGUGACGUGUUGUGAGACACGCGAGAUCACGGCCCGUUCAGCGACACGUUUCAUCCAAACUCCUCAGAGCUGAAACGUCCAGAAGCAACAAGACUCCACGCAGCAGCGUGUUUCGACGGCUGCUUUUGUUUCACUACUUUGAGCGGCAUUCUGGCGCAAAAGUUCUGUCUCUUCCUAAUCAAGGGACCGUCUUUUUUUGUGAAUACGGAGCAUUUGAGGUAAAGAAAAGUUCUUGAGUGCAAGUGCAACAGGAAGACCUGAUUGGAUUUCAAAGGAAGAGAGUGGUCACCAAAACCAAUCCGGAGCCAAAGUGAAGCUACUGACAGUGACUCAAUAAACCACAUCUCAUGCAUUCAAAUAGUGACUUAAGUUUUUUGUGGGUCGGCCACUGUAAUACCAAGCUGCUUAGGAAGCCACACAGGACGUGAACAUAUAGGAAGCCGUCCUUCCUGUGUCAUCCCAGAAAAAAGCAGAACGUCACAUGAACCAGGGGUCAAACCAGCAGCCCCCCUAUUAAUGAACAUCAUGCUCUAUUAGUCAGACAGCAUGUCUCAGCAUGGCCCUAUUUGUGGGUCUAAAAAGGGAGGCUGAUUCAGAAGUGUGUUAAAGCUGCAUUCUCUCUCUUGACCAGCAGGGUGCGAGUCUUUUAAAAACUUCUUUUCAUUUCUUUGGGUCCAGAACUUAUAAUGCCACCUAAACUGAUGGGUAAAUAAUAAGAACUGACCAGCAUUAAUAGAAAAUACGGGAAAAGGGGAUUUACUUGCAGUGAGAGGAAAUUAAACCGUCGGCUUCAGGUGCCCGCGGUGGUGGAAGGAAAUGAAGAAGACGAGAUGCUGACAGCUUUGACAACGAGACGCUCACUCUGAAGCUGCAGACAAGUGGCGUUUUGUUUGUACCUGUGUGUGUGUGUGUGUGUGUGUGUGUGUGUGUGUGUGUGUGUGUGUGUGUGUGUGUGUGUCUGCACUCACAAUUAUGGCUUUGUAGGCCCCAGCGACAGGAAACACCAACUGCAUGGGGCCAACAAGCGUUGUAGGGCCCAAAAUGAUGGACCCCAUUAGGAUUAGAAAAUCUUCCCACAAAGUCAGCACAGAAAAGUGUGGGUUUUUGUGUGUGUGUGUGUGUGUGUGUGUGUGUGUGUGUGUGUGUGUGUGUGUGUGUGUGGUUGCCAGGCAAUUUAGAUGAAAGGAAACGCGUCUUUCCUGCCACAUGGAGGAAACACUUUUCUCCAGCGCUCCUCUCUGAGGACGAGACUCCUGGGCCGUCUGGCCGAGGUCAUUUCAGACGGCUCUUUCAGCUUCGCCACCGGGGGACAAAAUGCUGAUUCACAAGACGCACUUCAACGUCUCCAUUGUCUAAAUGGAGUAGAAGUGGGGUUUUGUUUCCCGAACACUGCAGGUUAUUUGUAACCCGUCAUGUGCACAGUCUAAUUGCUGAGAUGGAAACGCAGAAGAUAUUUGGAUUCCCUUCGUGUUCGCGUGAUGUUUCCAAGCCUGGACCGUGCUCCGUUACGUUAACGCUGAGCACAAACAUUUAUGUCAGCGUUGUUUACAAAACUGCCAGUGGCUGUUGGGAAAUGAGGAACCGUUCCAUUCCAACGGCCUCGUUAUGUUGCCACGCUUUUCGCAUGAUGCACGUUGUCGGGAAGCCACUGAACGUCUUACCACAACCAAUAACCGACGCAGAUGAACUCCAAGUUAUGCAAUAACGCAGAGAAAAUAACUCAUCCUCUGCCAUAAGUUCUGGAACAAUCAGCUUUGGUUUUGUAAAACUACUGAAAGGCAACAAGUGCUGAUUUACAGGAAGGAAUGGCAGCCACAAGAUUAGACGGGAAGUGUGAAGCAUAAAUGCUACUAAAAUAUUAAAUAUUUGUAAUUUUGUGGAUCACACGUUGAUAAAAGUAGAUUAUAAUGCAGUCUAGAAUAUUUUUACCAUUUAGCAGCAGAUAAGGAGCAUAAUGUUUAGCCACUGCGAAAGGUUUCUUUCUUUUUCUGGGAUUUGAAUAUGAUUUCCCAGCUACAUGCAAUUUAUUGGUGAUCUGAUAUUUUCCCCACAUACAUCAUACAUCAUUUAAAAUAUUCAUUUAGCCAGUCCUUGUUUGGAUUUGCAGAGUAAAUCUGAGUUUAGAUCUGGGUUUUCCUUCGUCACAUCAGACUUUGCAACGGACCCCUGACUCCGGUCCUCACGGGCAAAGCAAACAUUUCAGAGAAAACUUCCAGGAGUUCUGGAUCCGUGAUGUUGUCGUUCGUGUCUUCGGCGCUCAGUUGUUGUCUUUGGCUCGGUCAGAGUAAAUACCUCCAUUCCGCUGUUGUGUUAGAAAAUAAUGUGUAUUCAAGAACCUGAAGAGGCUUCUACACACAGACUAAAUACAGCGUUUUGGAUUGUUGUUGUUUUUCUUUUACAGUAUGUCAUUUGUGUUGGUUUUGGCCUUUCUCAGUAAGUGUGGUUUAAAUGCACACUUACAUCACUUCUCAUCUUGUUGUUGUUGUUGUUGUUGUUUUUGGGCCACCAUCUCUGAUUUGCUGCCACCGUGAAAUUGCUUGGCUAUAAUAAGCACUGAACUUUCAUUGCAUUUGUGCGGAGGGUUCGUCUGCCUCACAGAACAAAGUUGUUGUCCCUACGAGCUCAAACGCAACCAUUUAACUGUGAGGUUUUUAGCCAUUUAUCUGCUCAACAAAGGGUUUUUACCUCAGUCACUCUGGAGGCUUUGCAGUUGAGUUGAAGGUCUUGAGAAAGAGAUUCUCCUCCACCUCGUUAGCAAACAAAUAUUGAUCUGUUCGGUGUUGCUGAUGCGCGUGGGAUAAAUCGGGCUUCCUUUUUGAGUUUGGAGAAGACGGGUGGUCCGCGGUGAUUUGUGGCAGUGAUUAGCGGAGACACAGAAAUCAGAAGGGAUUAGAAAACGGUCUAGGAUUCUAGUCUGCUUCUCUCGACCAAAUUACUAAAAUACUGCCGAGGAUUCCGUGGACAAGCCAACGAGGGUUAGCUAGCCGCAAAGGUAUGCUAACACGACGGCGGUUGGAUAACCCAAUUAAACUUAAAGACAAUUAGGAAGUUGUGUGCAGGAUCAUAGAAGAGCAGCAUUGGACAUCUUAAUAUAUACAUAUACUGUAUAUUUGUGCUGGACUCGUCGGUGUUACUCUAUUUGUUCCUCGGAGCGAGGGUGUCAUCUCAGAUGACAGCGUCUGGCCUGCGAGGAGGAGACGUCCCCAGCUCAGACGUUUUGAGGGCGGACUCCGGAGGAUGCACUGUAAUCAUAAACGCUUAAAAAUAGACCGUCGAGGAACUGAAAGUCUAAAGUCAAUCAGUCUGCGGCUGCCGCGGAUGGAGUCGGAUCUCAGACUCCUUGCAGAAAGGGGACUUUAAGGGGCUUCUUGCCUCCGUCCUGCCCUGGCAGAGCGAUACAGUGUCAGAUCCUGUGCGUCCUCGGCCUCUGGUCGAGCUCGUACCUCGUAAAAUUCAGCAACCACCAGAGCCGCCUUUGGCUUUAUGACGUUUGAGGCUGGCCCGACCACGAACACCAGAAUAAUCCCUCACCCUCCUCCCGAAGACUGCAGCCAUUGUCUGGAGGGCUCAAGUCUUGGAGUAAUCAUGGCAAACCUAUCUUAGGUUUUAUGAAUCGAUGGCGCCGCGCUGCUUUGACGUCAUCUUCACCAAAAACUAGUCGAAUAAGCACAAACAAGAAACCUUUGGAGACGGGACCAAAACCUUUGCAUCCAUAAUUCAUGCUCUGUUUUAAACAAAAAGGGGUAAAAUAGGAGUUGUUUUCAAACAUCACAAGGGUCAGUGGCUUGCUACCACUGAUUUGGCAGCAGCCACCCCGACCCUGCUCCGGAGGUUGCGGCCUUGUUGGAAUGCAUCCACAAACACUCAAACCGACCGCUCUCUCUUUCUCUCUUUUGCUGUCAAACAGGGUUGCCGCUUUUUCUCUUUCCCCCCCCUCCCUGUUUUGCUUAACCAGAAGACGGGAACUCGCCUGUUGGCUUGGUGCACACUCCGGCUGGAAAUUGAAAAGUAGAUCUGAUUUCUCCGUCAGGCUUCACCAACAAUAAGCUCGUUCUGUGGAAGGAACCUUCACAGAUUUACCCAGAAGCAAAUCAGCUGUUUCCUGUUGCUUGAGGACAGUUGAGAGCCGUAUACAGCAGUGGAUGACGGCGUAAUGAUGCUAGGAAGGUAUUCCCUUUCAUAAUAAGCUUCUUUAAGUAUGACAGCAUUUUAAUGUGAUAUCGGGAUGCAGAUAUGACGUUGACUGUCAAAUAAAUGACAAACUAUGUAUUGGGGACAUUGAGUUACUGCACAACUUGCACAUAAAAAACUGUCAAUUUGUGGUUUGAUGGGCAGCUAAGUUUUGUUUGGUAUCUCUUGGAGACCAACACUUCAUCCAUCUGGAUAAAAAUCCUCCAGCUAACACGGGUUGCAAGAUACAGUUGUUGAUCACAGAUGUUGGUGUAGAUGUCUGAACAAACGUCACUGUGACAACAAGACUCCCAAGAGCUCACUGCAUUUGGCCCAGUUCACCAAGAGAUACAUCACGGUGCAGCGUAAAUGCAGCCAGGACACAUUAAAGGGGGGGGGGGGGGUUGUUGAAUCUGUGAUGCCCCAGAGGACAAGUCUUAAACGGCACCGGGCCACAAAUUGGUCGAGCGUAAAUCGAUGCUUCUACAUAAGCCGCACAUGUCAUCGCUGUAUUUCUUUGCGCUAAAGAUUUACGUUUCCAACCGCGAAGAGUCGCGUAACCAUAACAGUCUUCAUCCCAAACAGCUCCAAGAAGUGGGAAAAACCAAAGAAAACACAACGUCCCCUCACUGCCUUUUGUCGCCCGGCAACACCGUCGGUUCGAUCUGGUGCACGGCGUUGGGGGACGUUCCAGAAUAAAGAAAUGUCCUAUGCAAAAACUUCAAACCCCCACCUCUCGUCAGUCUAUUUUACCCACCGCUAAAAGUGACUUUUAGUGCAGCAUGUGUGCUUUGUGCAUUCUGGUUCAUGUAUUCUAAGUGAGGACCCCCUCCCCCCCACCAGCAUCUCUCCCUCGAGCUCGACUGGAGAGUUCACUCGUUCAAUUUCCAGCAUCCUUGUGAGGUGGAAACAGAUGGUUACCUGUCGCAGUGAGAGCGGGUGGUGUUGCAUCAUGACCGGACAGGCCGAAGCCAGAGAGGCGAUGGGGAGGGAGGUGUAGCGUCUCUACUAAUUAUGAAGUUGAAUGUCAGACAUUACCGAGAGAAUAUUAAUCAAAUAGUUCAUUUCCAGAAUACAGUCCAUCAAUUUGAGUCGCUCGUGAUUUACUCGUGAUUCAUCUUCCAGGAUGUGAAAUGACCUUCUGGUGUUUUGAGUUUUUCUGCUGAAAAUUAUUUCAUAAGGUGAAAUUUUCAAGAAUGAUAUAUUCAUAUCAUAUAAACAUCGGCAAAAAAAUUGUUUGAAUCACCGACUUGAAACCAAAUAAAUGUUGUGUUUCAAAAAACGGUGGAGGAGCAGAGGAGGAGCGAUGGCGGAGGCGUGGAGUAGCGGUGGAGGAGCUUUGCCGGCGCAGAGGAGGAGUUGUGGCAGAGCGGUGGAGUAGCGGUGAAGGGGCGGUGAAGGAGGGGUGGUGGCGCGGUGGAGGAGAGCUGGAGGAGUGGUGGCAGAGCAGAGGAGGAGAGCUGGAGGAGUGGUGGCAGAGCGGUGGAGGAGAGUUGGAGGAGUGGUGGCAGAGCGGUGGAGGAGAGUUGGAGGAGUGGUGGCAGAGCGGUGGAGGAGAGCUGGAGGAGUGGUGGCAGAGCGGUGGAGGAGAGUUGGAGGAGUGGUGGCAGAGCAGUGGAGGAGAGUUGGAGGAGUGGUGGCAGAGCGGUGGAGGAGAGCUGGAGGAGUGGUGGCAGAGCGGUGGAGGAGAGUUGGAGGAGUGGUGGCAGAGCAGAGGAGGAGUGGUGGAGUAGCGGUGGAGGAGCGGUGAAGGGGUGGUGGAGGAGUGGUAGUGGCGCGGUGGAGGAGAACUGGAGGAGCGCUUGCUGAUGGAAGCCAGACAGUGAAAUGGUUCCUGGUUGGUUUUUGUGAAGCGAAGCAGACCCGGAGACCAGAACGUACAUGAUGUCACUAAAGUGAAGAAAGAAAGAAAGAAAGAAGGUGCAGGGGAGACAAAAUCGGCUCAAUUCACGUCGCUUGACGAAACCGAGAGAAAAGGAAUUGCAACGUCGCCGAGGUACCACUUACCCGGCAGGACAAAGUGCUCUGUGAGCGCUCGGCCUCGCCAGUGACGCGGGUCGGCGUGAUCAAUACAUCUGCCUCGCGGGCGUGUCGCCCGCUGGAGAGAAAUCGAUGAAAGCAGAGCUCCAACGGUUAGCCGUAAAAAGGUGGAUCAUCAGUAAAACCAUUCGUGCGUUGUGCUUCCAUCUCAGGCGUCCAGGCAGCCGAGAGGCAACGUAGGAUGAAUCGAUGUCCAGAGAAUCCGUUGAUGUCCUUCAGGAUGUCUGAGCGAGUGACGCUUUUCCGAAAGUUUGAAGACCUUGUAUCUGUAUAUGUGUGUAUUUAAUAAUCAAUCUUUUAUUUCAAGUUCAGCUGCAUGUUGCCUGAGAGGGGGGGGGGUUGAGAGGGAGAAAAACAUUAGUUUUCCAGCAUUUAUUGGCUUCACUAAUGAACUGUGAAUAGACUAAGUGGGAUACUAAAAGCUGAUUAAA
ensembl:lncRNA